GAUGAACGCUGGCGGCGUGCCUAACACAUGCAAGUCGAACGAACACACGAUGAGUGCUUGCUCUUGACGUUGGCGACGGGCGGGUGAGUAACAAGUAGAUAGCCCUCCAAUAUGUCUUGGAGAAUUUCGAGAGACCGGAGCCACUACUAGAGAAUACAACCUACCGGUGGGUUCAGUAGAGAUUGAUGGUUUUGGUGUCUACUAUAGACGGAUCCGCUUUGGCUUGUUGGGUGGGUAAAGUAACGCCAAGGCAAGGAUGCGUAGCCGACCUGAGAGGAUGAUCGGCCACACUGGAACUGAGACACGGUCCAGACUCCUACGGGAGGCAGCAGUAGGGAAUCUUGCGCAAUGGGCGAAAGCCUGACGCAGCCACGCCGCGUGAGUGAUGAAGGUCUUCGGAUCGUAAAGCCCUGUUGUUGGGGAAGAACAAAUGUGUGUGUAAAUACGGACGUCUUGACGGUACCUAAAGAAAAAGCACCGGCUAACUACGUG
rnacentral:rRNA from 1 species